rnacentral:lncRNA from 1 species
UAUUAUCAUAUAUGUGAAGUAGAUUGAUUAUAUUAAAUUACAUAAUUUAUUAUUUGUUAGUGAAGUGUGAGGAAUUUAGGUGGAACACAUAUAAGCUUUUACAUUAUUUAUUAUUAUGCUUAUUCAUAUGAUAUGAGUUCUCACCCUUGUGUUGGAAUGAUGUUCUAUGCGACAUCGCUCAGGUGGGAAACGCUUAGUAUUGUACCUUCAUGUUAAGAGUUAUUUUAUGAACUCUCUUUAUUUAUUUUUGGAUUAUGUUUUAUUUUGAAGCUGAACAAAUCUGAUGUUCUAUGCAUAUGAUGUUAUGACAUUAAAGUUGGAAAUUUAUAUAUUUAUUAUGAGCAUGACAGGUAUUUGAUUUAUGUUUUUGGAGAAUAAGUGUGACACCCUCUGUGUUAUGCAUUUUACUCUGAUUUAUGCUAUAAUAAUUGCGCAGGGUUUAGAGGGCGUUACACAUAUGUUGUUGCUGCUGAAGUAUAUAAAAGGAUGAAGACCUAAAACAUGAAGACCACCGAAGCUAAUUGAGAGAGAUCAAGGGUUUUAGGAUUGUUCAUUGUUCUUUGUCCUUGUUUACUUGUGAACAAACUUUGCUCACUGAUUCUAUAAAGCAAAGUUGUGUUCUGUGUUCUUUAAUUCUAAAAACUCUGAUUGUUUAUUGUUUGUUACCAAUCACUGUGGCAGUGAUUGAGAGAAAGUGAGAGGGGCUCUCAUACUUAGGCUGAGAUACUAAGUAGAAAU